CCCGGGCUACGGAAACCUGGGGGGGUUAGAUCCCUUGGGACUCGAGGCGGGGCUUGCGGCCUAUCAGCUAGUUGGCGGGGUAACGGCCCACCAAGGCGGUGACGGGUAGCUGGUCUGAGAGGAUGGCCAGCCACAUUGAGACUGAGAGACGGCCCAGACUCCUACGGGAGGCAGCAGUGGGGAAUCUUGCGCAAUGGCCGGAAGGCUGACGCAGCGACGCCGCGUGGAGGAUGACGCCCUUCGGGGUGUAAACUCCUGUUGCCCGGGACGAAGGCUGGGGAUGCCCCAGCGUGACGGUACCGGGUGAGGAAGCACCGGCUAACUCUGUGCCAGCAGCCGCGGUAAUACAGAGGGUGCGAGCGUUGUCCGGAAUCACUGGGCGUAAAGGGCGCGUAGGUGGCUGGAGAAGCGUGUGGUGAAAGCCCGGGGCUCGACCCCGGGUCGGCCAUGCGAACUGACUGGCUGGAGCACGGUAGAGGCCGAUGGAAUUCCGGGUGUAGCGGUGGAAUGCGUAGAGAUCCGGAAGAACACCGGGGGCGAAGGCGGUCGGCUGGGCCGUGGCUGACACUGAGGCGCGACAGCGUGGGGAGCAAACAGGAUUAGAUACCCUGGUAGUCCACGCCGUAAACGAUGGGCACUAGGUCCUUGGGGGAGCGACCCCGUGAGGGCCGGCGCUAACGCAUUAAGUGCCCCGCCUGGGGAGUACGGCCGCAAGGCUGAAACUCAAAGGAAUUGACGG
rnacentral:rRNA from 1 species